AAAAGUCAUUGUUUUAAAUAUCAUUUUUGCAAUUUUAUAAUUUGCUCAACCUUUAAGUUCAAUGUACUGCAUGCUCCAUCACAUUUUUUUUAACUCUUUCUAAAAAAAAAAAAAAAUAAUCUGACAUAUCAUUCUUUUUUGUUUUUAAUGCCAUGACAUAACUAGUCACAUCGGGGAGAAUUAUUUUUACAUGUAUGCAUUUAUAAUCAUUUACUGUACCAAUAUCAUAUCAUUUAAAAUUUCAGAUUAUUUGUUUAGCAAUAAUUUUAAUCAGUAUGUCUUUUUAGUAGCAAUAUAAAUAUUUUUUUUUCAUUUUGAAAUUUUUUUAUUAUUAUUAAAUUUGAAGAUUUGUUUUCAAUUUUGAUAAAUAAAAAUUUAGCCAAUAAAUCAGAUCAGAGGACUGUGAAAGAAUGACUCUAAUAUAUAUUUUCAGACUGUGUUUGUAUAUUAAACUGAUAAAAAAAAUUGUGGCAUAUCAUAGCUUUGCUAUGUAUAUUUAUUCAUUGAAUAAAUAUAUUCGAUGU
rnacentral:sRNA from 1 species